rnacentral:rRNA from 1 species
AUACGGAGGGUGCGAGCGUUAAUCGGAAUUACUGGGCGUAAAGCGCGCGUAGGCGGUCUGUUAAGUCGGGUGUGAAAGCCCCGGGCUCAAUCUGGGAAUGGCAUCCGAUACUGGCAGGCUAGAGUCUGGUAGAGGGAAGUGGAAUUCCGCAUGUAGCGGUGAAAUGCGUAGAUAUGCGGAGGAACACCAGUGGCGAAGGCGGCUUCCUGGACCAAGACUGACGCUGAGGUGCGAAAGCGUGGGGAGCAAACAGGAUUAGAUACCCUAGUAGUCC